rnacentral:rRNA from 1 species
UACCAGCACCCCGAGUGGUCGGGACGUUUUAUUGGGCCUAAAGCAUCCGUAGCCGGUUCUGCAAGUCUUCCGUUAAAUCCACCUGCUUAACAGAUGGGCCGCGGAAGAUACUAUAGAGCUAGGAGGCAGGAGAGGCAAGCGGUACUCAGUGGGUAGGGGUAAAAUCCGUUGAUCCAUUGAAGACCACCAGUGGCGAAGGCGGCUUGCCAGAAUGCGCUCGACGGUGAGGGAUGAAAGCUGGGGGGAGCAAACCGG